rnacentral:rRNA from 1 species
UUAAGUUAAUAAGGGCGCACGGUGGAUGCCUUGGCACUAGGAGCCGACGAAGGACGUGACAAACGACGAUAUGCCUUGGGUAGCUGUAAGUAAGCGAUGAUCCAGGGAUUUCCGAAUGGGGGAACCCAACAGGUAGUACCUGUUACCCACAUCUGUUAAGGAUGUGAGGAGGAAGACGCAGUGAACUGAAACAUCUAAGUAGCUGCAGGAAGAGAAAGCAAGAGCGAUUGCCUUAGUAGCGGCGAGCGAAACGGCAGGAGGGCAAACCGAAGAGUUUACUCUUCGGGGUUGUAGGACUGCAAUGUGGACUCAAAGAUUAUAGAAGAAUGAUUUGGGAAGAUCAGCCAAAGAGAGUAAUAGCCUCGUAUUUAAAAUAGUCUUUGUACCUAGCAGUAUCCUGAGUACGGCGGGACACGUGAAAUCCCGUCGGAAUCUGGGAGGACCAUCUCCCAACCCUAAAUACUCCCUAGUGACCGAUAGUGAACCAGUACCGUGAGGGAAAGGUGAAAAGCACCCCGGGAGGGGAGUGAAAUAGAACCUGAAACCGUGUGCCUACAACAAGUUCGAGCCCGUUAAUGGGUGAGAGCGUGCCUUUUGUAGAAUGAACCGGCGAGUUACGUUAUGAUGCGAGGUUAAGUUGAAGAGACGGAGCCGUAGGGAAACCGAGUCUGAAUAGGGCGCCUUAGUAUCAUGACGUAGACCCGAAACCAUGUGACCUACCCAUGAGCAGGUUGAAGGUGCGGUAAGACGCACUGGAGGACCGAACCAGGGCACGUUGAAAAGUGCUUGGAUGACUUGUGGGUAGCGGAGAAAUUCCAAACGAACUUGGAGAUAGCUGGUUCUCUCCGAAAUAGCUUUAGGGCUAGCGUCGACAUUAGAGAUUCUUGGAGGUAGAGCACUGUUUGGGUGAGGGGUCCAUCCCGGAUUACCAAUCUCAGAUAAACUCCGAAUGCCAAUGAAUUAUGGUCGGCAGUCAGACUGCGAGUGCUAAGAUCCGUAGUCGAAAGGGAAACAGCCCAGACCACCAGCUAAGGUCCCAAAAUAAUUGUUAAGUGGAAAAGGAUGUGGGGUUGCACAGACAACUAGGAUGUUAGCUUAGAAGCAGCUAUUCAUUCAAAGAGUGCGUAAUAGCUCACUAGUCGAGUGACCCUGCGCCGAAAAUGUACCGGGGCUAAAACAAUUUACCGAAGCUGUGGAUACCUUUAUAGGUAUGGUAGGAGAGCGUUCUAUGUGUGAUGAAGGUAUACCGUGAGGAGUGCUGGAACGCAUAGAAGUGAGAAUGCCGGUAUGAGUAGCGAAAGACAGGUGAGAAUCCUGUCCACCGUAAGACUAAGGUUUCCAGGGGAAGGCUCGUCCGCCCUGGGUUAGUCGGGACCUAAGGAGAGACCGAAAGGUGUAUCCGAUGGACAACAGGUUGAUAUUCCUGUACUAGAGUAUGUAGUGAUGGAGGGACGCAGUAGGCUAACUAAAGCAGACGAUUGGAAGAGUCUGUCUAAGCAGUGAGGUGUGAAUUGAGUCAAAUGCUUAAUUCUAUAACAUUGAGCUGUGAUGGGGAGCGAAGUUUAGUAGCGAAGUUAGUGACGUCACACUGCCAAGAAAAGCUUCUAGCGUUUAAACAUACUCUACCCGUACCGCAAACCGACACAGGUAGUCGAGGCGAGUAGCCUCAGGUGAGCGAGAGAACUCUCGUUAAGGAACUCGGCAAAAUGACCCCGUAACUUCGGGAGAAGGGGUGCUGACUUUAAGUCAGCCGCAGUGAAUAGGCCCAAGCAACUGUUUAUCAAAAACACAGCUCUCUGCUAAAUCGUAAGAUGAUGUAUAGGGGGUGACGCCUGCCCGGUGCUGGAAGGUUAAGAGGAGUGCUUAGCGUAAGCGAAGGUAUGAAUUGAAGCCCCAGUAAACGGCGGCCGUAACUAUAACGGUCCUAAGGUAGCGAAAUUCCUUGUCGGGUAAGUUCCGACCCGCACGAAAGGCGUAAUGAUUUGGGCACUGUCUCAACGAGAGACUCGGUGAAAUUUUAGUACCUGUGAAGAUGCAGGUUACCCGCGACAGGACGGAAAGACCCCAUGGAGCUUUACUGCAGUUUGAUAUUGAGUGUCUGUACCACAUGUACAGGAUAGGUAGGAGUCUAAGAGAUCGGGACGCCAGUUUCGAAGGAGACGCUGUUGGGAUACUACCCUUGUGUUAUGGCCACUCUAACCCAGAUAGGUGAUCCCUAUCGGAGACAGUGUCUGACGGGCAGUUUGACUGGGGCGGUCGCCUCCUAAAAGGUAACGGAGGCGCCCAAAGGUUCCCUCAGAAUGGUUGGAAAUCAUUCGCAGAGUGUAAAGG